CUUUACUGUAGCCUGGUAUUGGGUUCGGGCUUUGACUGCGCAGGAUAGGUGGGAGACUGUGAAGCAAUCCUUGUGGGGAUUGCUGAGUCAACGGUGAGAUACCACUCUGUCAAGGCUAGAAUUCUAACCCGCAUCCGUUAUCCGGAGUGGGAACAGUAUCAGGUGGGCAGUUUGACUGGGGCGGUCGCCUCCUAAAAGGUAACGGAGGCGCGCAAAGGUUCUCUCAGGCUGGUUGGAAAUCAGCCGUAGAGUGUAAAGGCAGAAGAGAGCUUGACUGCGAGACCUACAAGUCGAGCAGGGACGAAAGUCGGCCUUAGUGAUCCGACGGCGCUGAGUGGAAGGGCCGUCGCUCAACGGAUAAAAGUUA
rnacentral:rRNA from 1 species